rnacentral:rRNA from 1 species
CCUCGGGCGGCUGCAGUGGGGAAUAUUGCACAAUGGGCGCAAGCCUGAUGCAGCCAUGCCGCGUGUGUGAAGAAGGCCUUCGGGUUGUAAAGCACUUUCAGCGGGGAGGAAGGCGGUGAGGUUAAUAACCUCAUCGAUUGACGUUACCCGCAGAAGAAGCACCGGCUAACUCCGUGCCAGCAGCCGCGGUAAUACGGAGGGUGCGAGCGUUAAUCGGAAUUACUGGGCGUAAAGCGCACGCAGGCGGUCUGUCAAGUCGGAUGUGAAAUCCCCGGGCUCAACCUGGGAACUGCAUUCGAAACUGGCAGGCUAGAGUCUUGUAGAGGGGGGUAGAAUUCCAGGUGUAGCGGUGAAAUGCGUAGAGAUCUGGAGGAAUACCGGUGGCGAAGGCGGCCCCCUGGACAAAGACUGACGCUCAGGUGCGAAAGCGUGGGGAGCAAACAGGAUUAGAUACCCUUGUAGUC